CGGGGAUUAGUGGCGAACGGGUGAGUAACACGUGAGUAACCUGCCCUUAACUCUGGGAUAAGCCUGGGAAACUGGGUCUAAUACCGGAUAUGACUGAUCAUCGCAUGGUGGUUGGUGGAAAGCUUUUUGUGGUUUUGGAUGGACUCGCGGCCUAUCAGCUUGUUGGUGAGGUAAUGGCUUACCAAGGCGACGACGGGUAGCCGGCCUGAGAGGGUGACCGGCCACACUGGGACUGAGACACGGCCCAGACUCCUACGGGAGGCAGCAGUGGGGAAUAUUGCACAAUGGGCGCAAGCCUGAUGCAGCGACGCCGCGUGAGGGAUGACGGCCUUCGGGUUGUAAACCUCUUUCAGUAGGGAAGAAGCGAAAGUGACGGUACCUGCAGAAGAAGCGCCGGCUAACUACGUGCCAGCAGCCGCGGUAAUACGUAGGGCGCAAGCGUUAUCCGGAAUUAUUGGGCGUAAAGAGCUCGUAGGCGGUUUGUCGCGUCUGCCGUGAAAGUCCGGGGCUCAACUCCGGAUCUGCGGUGGGUACGGGCAGACUAGAGUGAUGUAGGGGAGACUGGAAUUCCUGGUGUAGCGGUGAAAUGCGCAGAUAUCAGGAGGAACACCGAUGGCGAAGGCAGGUCUCUGGGCAUUAACUGACGCUGAGGAGCGAAAGCAUGGGGAGCGAACAGGAUUAGAUACCCUGGUAGUCCAUGCCGUAAACGUUGGGCACUAGGUGUGGGGGACAUUCCACGUUUUCCGCGCCGUAGCUAACGCAUUAAGUGCCCCGCCUGGGGAGUACGGCCGCAAGGCUAAAACUCAAAGGAAUUGACGGGGGCCCGCACAAGCGGCGGAGCAUGCGGAUUAAUUCGAUGCAACGCGAAGAACCUUACCAAGGCUUGACAUGAACCGGAAAGACCUGGAAACAGGUGCCCCGCUUGCGGUCGGUUUACAGGUGGUGCAUGGUUGUCGUCAGCUCGUGUCGUGAGAUGUUGGGUUAAGUCCCGCAACGAGCGCAACCCUCGUUCUAUGUUGCCAGCACGUGAUGGUGGGGACUCAUAGGAGACUGCCGGGGUCAACUCGGAGGAAGGUGGGGACGACGUCAAAUCAUCAUGCCCCUUAUGUCUUGGGCUUCACGCAUGCUACAAUGGCCGGUACAAAGGGUUGCGAUACUGUGAGGUGGAGCUAAUCCCAAAAAGCCGGUCUCAGUUCGGAUUGGGGUCUGCAACUCGACCCCAUGAAGUCGGAGUCGCUAGUAAUCGCAGAUCAGCAACGCUGCGGUGAAUACGUUCCCGGGCCUUGUACACACCGCCCGUCAAGUCACGAAAGUUGGUAACACCCGAAGCCGGUGGCCUAACCCCUUGU
rnacentral:rRNA from 1 species